rnacentral:rRNA from 1 species
GACGAACGCUGGCGGCGUGCUUAACACAUGCAAGUGAGCGACGAACCUGGCUUCGGCCAGGGGCAAAGCCGCGAACGGGUGAGUAACACGUGGGUAACGUGCCCCAAUGACUGGGACAACCCGGGGAAACCCGGGCUAAUACCGGAUGUGCUUCUUCCACAUCAGUGGAUUGAGUAAAGGUAGCUUCGGCUUCCGCAUUGGGGAUCGGCCCGNGGCGCAUUAGCUUGUUGGUGGGGUAACGCCACCAAGGCAACGAUGCGUAGCUGGUCUGAGAGGACGAUCAGCCACACUGGGACUCGAGACACGGCCCAGACUCCUACGGGAGGCAGCAGUGGGGAAUCUUGCGCAAUGCGCGAAAGCGUGACGCAGCAACGCCG